rnacentral:rRNA from 1 species
GUAUAAAUAGUAUACAGUAAAACUGCGAAUGGCUCAUUAAAACAGUUAUAGUUUAUUUGAUAAUGGAAAGCUACAUGGAUAACCGUGGUAAUUCUAGAGCUAAUACAUGCUGCAAAACCUGACUUUUCGGAAAGGUUGUAUUUAUUAGAUAUGAAGCCAAUAUUCCUUCGGGUCUAUUGUGGUGAAUCAUAGUAACUGAUCGAAUUGCGGCUAGCCCGCGAUGGAUCAUUCAAGUUUCUGCCCUAUCAGCUUUCKAUGGUAGUGUAUUGGACUACCAUGGCAGUCACGGGUAACGGAGAAUUAGGGUUCGAUUCCGGAGAGGGAGCCUGAGAAACGGCUACCACAUCUAAGGAAGGCAGCAGGCGCGUAAAUUACCCAAUCCUGACUCAGGGAGGUAGUGACAAGAAAUAACAACCUGGGGGUCUUCUGACCUUACGGGAU